UACGAAGGGGGCUAGCGUUGCUCGGAAUUACUGGGCGUAAAGCGCACGUAGGCGGUUUCUUAAGUCGGGGGUGAAAUCCUGGAGCUCAACUCCAGAACUGCCUUCGAUACUGAGAGACUUGAGUCCGGGAGAGGUGAGUGGAACUGCGAGUGUAGAGGUGAAAUUCGUAGAUAUUCGCAAGAACACCAGUGGCGAAGGCGGCUCACUGGCCCGGUACUGACGCUGAGGUGCGAAAGCGUGGGGAGCGAACAGG
rnacentral:rRNA from 1 species